AACGAACGCUGGCGGCAUGCCUAACACAUGCAAGUCGAACGAGACCUUCGGGUCUAGUGGCGCACGGGUGCGUAACGCGUGGGAACCUGCCCUUAGGUUCGGAAUAACUCCCCGAAAGGGGUGCUAAUACCGGAUAAUGUCUUCGGACCAAAGAUUUAUCGCCUUUGGAUGGGCCCGCGUUGGAUUAGCUAGUUGGUAGGGUAAAAGCCUACCAAGGCGACGAUCCAUAGCUGGUCUGAGAGGAUGAUCAGCCACACUGGGACUGAGACACGGCCCAGACUCCUACGGGAGGCAGCAGUGGGGAAUAUUGGACAAUGGGCGAAAGCCUGAUCCAGCAAUGACGCGUGAGUGAUGAAGGCCGUAGGGUUGUAAAGCGCUUUUACCCGGGAUGAUAAUGACAGUACCGGGAGAAUAAGCUCCGGCUAACUCCGUG
rnacentral:rRNA from 1 species